rnacentral:tRNA from 1 species
GGGCGAUGGCUCUAUGGUAGAGCGUUUGACUCAAUGACAAGAUGUCGUGGGUUCGAAUCCAACAUCACCCA